ACAGUGGACGCGAGCAUCUUUGUUGUAAGUAAUGAAGAGCGUACGGUGGAUGCCUUGGCACCAGGAGCCGAUGAAGGACGUAGGAGGCUGCGAUAAGCCUCGGGGAGCUGUCAACCGAGCUGUGAUCCGAGGAUGUCCGAAUGGGGAAACCCAGCACGAGUGAUGUCGUGUUACCCGCGCCUGAAUAUAUAGGGCGUGUGGAGGGAACGUGGGGAAGUGAAACAUCUCAGUACCCACAGGAAGAGAAAACAACCGUGAUUCCGUGAGUAGUGGCGAGCGAAAGCGGAAGAGGCUAAACCAUGGGUGUGUGAUAGCCGGCAGGUGUUGCAUUCGUGGGGUUGUGGGGUUCAUUUUGUCUGUUCUGCCGAGCAGGCCAACAGUAAGAAAUCACAGGGUUAGUGGAAGUGGUCUGGAACGGCCUGUCGUAGAGGGUGAGAAUCCCGUACACGAAAACUUUGUGACUGUUGUAAUGGAAACCCAAGUAGCACCGGGCCCGUG
rnacentral:rRNA from 1 species